rnacentral:rRNA from 1 species
AGGUGACCUGCGGAAGGAUCAUUACUAGAGCAAAGGAUAGACAGCGCCCGCGGAGCUCGCUCCCGGGGCUACCCUACUCCCGUAGGGUUUAGAGUCGUCGGGCCUCUCGGAGAAGCUCGGUCCUGAACUCCACCCUUGAAUAAACUACCUUUGUUGCUUUGGCGGGCCGCCUCGUGCCAGCGGCUUCGGCUGUUGAGUGCCCGCCAGAGGACCCCAACUCUUGUUUUUAGUGAUGUCUGAGUACUAUAUAAUAGUUAAAACUUUCAACAACGGAUCUCUUGGUUCUGGCAUCGAUGAAGAACGCAGCGAAAUGCGAUAAGUAAUGUGAAUUGCAGAAUUCAGUGAAUCAUCGAAUCUUUGAACGCACAUUGCGCCCUCUGGUAUUCCGGGGGGCAUGCCUGUUCGAGCGUCAUUAUAACCACUCAAGCUCUCGCUUGGUAUUGGGGUUCGCGGUUUCGCGGCCCCUAAAAUCAGUGGCGGUGCCUGUCGGCUCUACGCGUAGUAAUACUCCUCGCGAUUGAGUCCGGUAGGUCUACUUGCCAGCAACCCCUAAUUUUUUUAAGGUUGACCUCGGAUCAGGUAGGGAUACCCGCUGAACUUAAGCAUAUCAAUAAGCGGAGGAAAAGAAACCAACAGGGAUUACCUCAGUAACGGCGAGUGAAGCGGUAACAGCUCAAAUUUGAAAGCUGGCUCUUUUAGGGUCCGCGUUGUAAUUUGUAGAAGAUGCUUCGGGUGUGGCCCCGGUCUAAGUUCCUUGGAC